rnacentral:rRNA from 1 species
UAGGGGGCAAGCGUUGUCCGGAAUCACUGGGCGUAAAGGGCGCGUAGGCGGCAAUAUAAGUCAGGUGUGAAAAGUGAGGGCUCAACCGUUAGAGUGCACCUGAUACUGUAUAGCUUGAGUAUGGGAGAGGGAAGCGGAAUUCCUAGUGUAGCGGUGAAAUGCGUAGAUAUUAGGAAGAACACCAGUGGCGAAGGCGGCUUUCUGGCCCAAAACUGACGCUGAGGCGCGAAAGCGUGGGGAGCAAA